CCUACGGGAGGCAGCAGUGGGGAAUCUUGGGCAAUGGGCGAAAGCCUGACCCAGCGACGCCGCGUUGGGGAUGAAGCCCUUCGGGGCGUAAACCCAUGUUGUAGGGGACGAAGAAAGUGACGGUACCCUACGAGAAAGCCCCGGCCAACUACGUGCCAGCAGCCGCGGUAAU
rnacentral:rRNA from 1 species